rnacentral:misc_RNA from 1 species
UCCGGUUUGUCACCGGCAGUCCCAUUAAAGUGCCCAACUAAAUGAUGGCAAUUAAUGGCAAGGGUUGCGCUCGUUGCGGGACUUAACCCAACAUCUCACGACACGAGCUGACGACAGCCAUGCAGCACCUGUGUUAGCGUUCCCUUUCGGGCACCAAUCCAUCUCUGGAAAGUUCGCUACAUGUCAAGGCCAGGUAAGGUUUUUCGCGUUGCAUCGAAUUAAUCCACAUAAUCCACCGCUUGUGCGGGCCCCCGUCAAUUCAUUUGAGUUUUAAUCUUGCGACCGUACUCCCCAGGCGGUCUACUUCACGCGUUAGCUGCGUUACUCAUGGAUUUUACUCCACCAACAACUAGUAGACAUCGUUUAGGGCGUGGACUAC